AGUGGACGUGUCAGGGCUCAGAGAUGUGACAGAGAAUACCGGGCCUGAAGGUUCAGCUGUGCACAAGAGAAAGGGCCUUGGAUGGCGUGAUGGCACAUGCUUAUGAUCCCAAUGCUCAGAAGGACAGCUGCAGGAUUGAGGCUAUCAUGGGCUAUAGAGGCUAUCACGGGCUAUGGACAGGCCACAGGGAGCCCUGGUGACCUUCUAACAUGUGGUGACUGCAAACCCUCAUUGACAUAGUGCUGUGACAUCACUGAAGCGCUUCCUGAGGAGCUGGUUAACUGUUCUGCUGAUUCAUUCUCUCUCUCUCUCUCUCUCUCUCUCUCUCUCUCUCUCUCUCUCUCCUCCCCCUUGAAUGAACUGUAUGCUUCUAAUGAAGAAAAUGUACAAAGUUCAUUAUGACACUUAAAAAACAUAUAUUUAUUUUACCUAUGUGUACUGGGAUUUGCCUGCAUGUACGUAGGGGCACCAUAUAUGUGCAGUGCCUCAAGAGGCCAGAAGGGGGCAUUAGGUCCCUUGGAACUGGAGUUACAGACAGCUGUGAGCAGCUAUGUGGGUGCUUAUAACUGAACCCAGGUCUUCUGCUCUUAACCUCUGAGUCAUCUCUGCAGUCCCAUAUUAUGUCAUGUCUUGAGUAGCUCACAAGCUUCCACUCCCCCUUUGCUCUACAGAAAGGACCAAGCAGAACCCACAGGAGCAUCUAGCCCAAGGCAACUGUGUUGCCAACUUUCAGUUGUGGCAGCACGUGUCUGAGAUAAACAGCUGAAAACAAGGAGAGUUUCCGAUGGGUUCCUAGUUCUGAAGUUUCAGUUCGUGAUCUGUCGGUUUCGUUGGUUCGGGUCUGUAAUGGACGCUCCGGAGGGAGCACGAGGCACAAGAGGUCUGUUCGUUUCCUGGUGGCCAGCAAGCAAAGACAGCAACCGCAGGCGCUGAAGUCCCAGUGUUCCCUUCCAGGGUGCAACCUCUUGGUCUCACUCUCAGCAGCGUCAAGCCUUUAAAACAUGUGCCUUUGGGAGACACUGAAGAUCCAAACCAUAACUGUCAGAGAGGCGAUGAGGCCCCCGACCCGACAGCCUGUAAGGAAAUGGAUUGCUCUAACAACCAUGGGAGUUGGAAGCCUAUCUUCACUCAGUUAAGCCCUGGCAUAAAACCACAGUUCUAGACAAUCCCAAGUGAAGCCCUCAGAAUGACCUGCAGCCAGCAAGCACCCAAGUUAGACUUUACAGGGACUCUUGACCUCUCGAAAGCAGAAAUAUCCCAGCUAUGUUUUGUUUUGUUUUAAUUUGCAAGAUCUUCAUAGUAAAGU
rnacentral:lncRNA from 1 species